rnacentral:snoRNA from 1 species
AUACCAUGAUGUGGACACGUAACUAGAAGACCCUUGAAUCUCUCCUACGCUUCAUGUAGUAUCUCAAUUGUUCUCUGUUUGAAGCUCAAUAUCUUAUCAAUUUGCU